rnacentral:misc_RNA from 1 species
CUGACAUCAGAUUUCACUGGAAGGCAAGCUUCCGCCUGCAGGAGGCAUUAUCUUAUGUUUCCUCCAGGAUCCCUUGACAAACACUAUGAGAAACUUAUGCAUUGCGACAGUAGAUUGUACGAAUUGAGCAAAAAACCUUUCCCUAGUCUGCAAUCUCCUUAUUUUGAGCCAAACAUUUGCAGUUUUACAAAUUUAUCUUUUGAUUCCCAUAUGAAUAGUCGAGAUGUCAACCUUGGAUUGCAGUUCAACUUUGGCAUUCCCUCUCCUUUGGUGGCUACCCAACAAGUUCAGUCUUUUGAGCAAGCACGCCAGCUAUCUUUUAAAGAAACAACUUCACCCGUAUCAGUUAUGGAUUUUUCGCAUUCAGAUGCGCACAUUAGCAACAAUGUAUUUGAGAGUACAAGGAUGACGGUAUGGGGACAAGGGAUAAACAAUAAUUUAGCAGCAGUAGAUACUUUUGCUCCGAGUAUUCCAUUCACCCAAGUGAAUCCAGCUGUUCCUUGCCAAGGCUACAGCAACCCAUUAACAUAUGGCCAGGGAGGUGAUCCUAGCCAUGUGAAUAAAAUGCUAAAUAAUCUUGCAGACCAUUUGUUUAAUGACACCAAGGCAGAGGGUUAUGAUGAGAAGUAUCACAUGGCAAGAGUGGAAUCACUGAAAGCGUUGGUCAAUCUCUCCCAAGAAGAG